rnacentral:rRNA from 1 species
AGUGGCGCACGGGUGCGUAACGCGUAUGCAACCUACCUUAAACAGGGGAAUAGCCUCUCGAAAGAGAGAUUAAUACCGCAUAAGAUAUAUUUGAUGCAUAUCAGAUAUAUUAAACCUACGGGGGUUUAAGAUGGGCAUGCGUGACAUUAGCUAGUUGGUGAGGUAACGGCUCACCAAGGCAACGAUGUCUAGGGGGUCUGAGAGGAUGUCCCCCCACACUGGUACUGAGACACGGACCAGACUCCUACGGGAGGCAGCAGUAGGGAAUAUUGGUCAAUGGGGGCAACCCUGAACCAGCCAUGCCGCGUGCAGGAAUAAGGCCCUAUGGGUCGUAAACUGCUUUUGAACGGGAAGAAAUCUAUUUACGUGUAAAUAGUUGACGGUACCGUUAGAAUAAGGAUCGGCUAACUUCGUGCCAGCAGCCGCGGUAAUACGAAGGAUCCAAGCGUUGUCCGGAUUUACUGGGUUUAAAGGGUGCGUAGGCGGACUUAUAAGUCAGUGGUGAAAGCCUUCAGCUUAACUGAAGAACUGCCAUUGAAACUGUAAGUCUCGAGUUCGGUUGAGGUCAUUGGAAUGUAACAUGUAGCGGUGAAAUGCAUAGAUAUGUUACAGAACACCGAUUGCGAAGGCAGAUGACUAAACCGAAACUGACGCUGAGGCACGAAAGCGUGGGGAUCAAACAGGAUUAGAUACCCUGGUAGUCCACGCCCUAAACGAUGAAUACUCGA